GCUCUGGGUUAGUCGGGUCCUAAGCUGAGGCCGAUAGGCGUAGGCGAUGGAUAACAGGUUGAUAUUCCUGUACCACCUAGUAUCGUUUUAAUCGAUGGGGGGACGCAGUAGGAUAGGCGAAGCGUGCUAUUGGAUUGCACGUCCAAGCAGUAAGACUGAGUGUUAGGCAAAUCCGGCACUCAUAAGGUCAAGCUGUGAUGGGGAGAGGAAAUUGUUUCCUCGAGUCGUUGAUUUCACACUGCCAAGAAAAGCCUCUAGAUAGAUAACAGGUGCCCGUACCGCAAACCGACACAGGUAGUCAAGAUGAGAAUUCUAAGGUGAGCGAGCGAACUCUCGUUAAGGAACUCGGCAAAAUGACCCCGUAACUUCGGGAGAAGGGGUGCUCUUUAGGGUUAACGCCCAGAAGAGCCGCAGUGAAUAGGCCCAAGCGACUGUUUAUCAAAAACACAGGUCUCUGCUAAACCGUAAGGUGAUGUAUAGGGGCUGACGCCUGCCCGGUGCUGGAAGGUUAAGAGGAGUAGUUAGCUUCUGCGAAGCUACGAAUCGA
rnacentral:rRNA from 1 species